UGGGGAAUUUUGGACAAUGGGCGAAAGCCUGAUCCAGCAAUGCCGCGUGUGUGAAGAAGGCCUUCGGGUUGUAAAGCACUUUUGUCCGGAAAGAAAUCCUUGGCUCUAAUACAGUCGGGGGAUGACGGUACCGGAAGAAUAAGCACCGGCUAACUACGUGCCAGCAGCCGCGGUAAUACGUAGGGUGCAAGCGUUAAUCGGAAUUACUGGGCGUAAAGCGUGCGCAGGCGGUUUGCUAAGACCGAUGUGAAAUCCCCGGGCUCAACCUGGGAACUGCAUUGGUGACUGGCAGGCUAGAGUAUGGCAGAGGGGGGUAGAAUUCCACGUGUAGCAGUGAAAUGCGUAGAGAUGUGGAGGAAUACCGAUGGCGAAGGCAGCCCCCUGGGCCAAUACUGACGCUCAUGCACGAAAGCGUGGGGAGCAAACAGGAUUAGAUACCCUGGUAGUCACGCCCUAAACGAUGUCAACUAGUUGUUGGGGAUUCAUUUCCUUAGUAACGUAGCUAACGCGUGAAGUUGACCGCCUGGGGAGUACGGUCGCAAGAUUAAAACUUAAAGGAAUUG
rnacentral:rRNA from 1 species